AUUGAACGCUGGCGGCAUGCCUUACACAUGCAAGUCGAACGGCAGCACGGGAGCUUGCUCCUGGUGGCGAGUGGCGAACGGGUGAGUAAUACAUCGGAACGUACCCAGUAGUGGGGGAUAACGCACCGAAAGGUGCGCUAAUACCGCAUACGACCUAAGGGUGAAAGCGGGGGACCGUAAGGCCUCGCGCUAUUGGAGCGGCCGAUGUCUGAUUAGCUAGUUGGCGGGGUAAGAGCCCACCAAGGUGACGAUCAGUAGCUGGUCUGAGAGGAUGAUCCGCCACACUGGAACUGAGACACGGUCCAGACUCCUACGGGAGGCUG
rnacentral:rRNA from 1 species